rnacentral:rRNA from 1 species
GCUAGUAAUCGCGGAUCAGCAUGCCGCGGUGAAUACGUUCCCGGGCCUUGUACACACCGCCCGUCACACCAUGGGAGUCGGUAACACCCGAAGCCAGUAGCCCAAUCGCAAGGAGGACGCUGUCGAAGGUGGGAUUGAUAACUGGGGUGAAGUCGUAACAAGGUACC